rnacentral:misc_RNA from 1 species
GAAAUGCGAUAAGUAGUGUGAAUUGCAGAAUUCAGUGAAUCAUCGAAUCUUUGAACGCACAUUGCGCCCCUUGGUAUUCCAUGGGGCAUGCCUGUUCGAGCGUCAUUUGUACCCUCAAGCUCUGCUUGGUGUUGGGUGUUUGUCCCCGUCUCCGCGCGUGGACUCGCCCCAAAGUGAUUGGCAGCCGGCGUACUGGUCCCGGAGCGCAGCACAUGUCGCGCAAACGAGUGCCUUGGUACGGCGGCGUCCAUAAGCCCCUCUAUCACGCUCUUGACCUCGGAUCAGGUAGGGAUACCCGCUGAACUUAAGC